UACAGAGGGUGCAAGCGUUGUUCGGAAUUAUUGGGCGUAAAGGGCGCGUAGGCGGUGCUGUAAGUCUGUAGUGAAAUCUCUGGGCUCAACUCAGAGUCUGCUAUAGAAACUGCAGUGCUGGAGUGUGGGAGAGGUGAGUGGAAUUCCUGGUGUAGCGGUGAAAUGCGUAGAUAUCUGGAGGAACACCGGUGGCGAAGGCGGCAUCCUGGACCAACACUGACACUGAGGAGCGAAAGCCAGGGGAGCAAACGGG
rnacentral:rRNA from 1 species